rnacentral:misc_RNA from 1 species
CUCGCACUUACUCUUAUAUUUGUUUUGUGCUUUCCUGGAGCACCCAAAGUGGAUGCUUCAUGUGGAUCCUACAUCUUAUGCUGGAGUGCAGUCUAGCAAGAACCCCUUAUUCUUGGGGGUUCUUCCUCCAAAAGAAAGGUUUCCUGAGAAGUACAUCUCUGUCAUAUCGGGUGUUCCUUCCACUCUUCACCCAGGGGCAUGUAUUCUGGUUGUUGGAAAGCAAAGCCCUCCAAUCUUUGCCUUGUACUGGGAUAAGAAACUUUGUUUUCAGGGAAGAACAGCAUUGUGGGAUACCAUCUUGCUUUUGUGCCACAAGAUCAAGGUAGGAUAUGGAGGCAUAGUUCGGGGUAUGCAUCUUGGUUCGUCAGCCUUAAGCAUACUUCCAGUUCUGGAGUCAGAAACUGAUGACUGACUAUUGCAUUCCAGCUCGAUAUGGCAAUGAAUGAUAUGAUACAAGUCUCAUCUCAAUGGUUAAAUGCGCAAGUUCGCUGGACCGCCUAAAAUCUUUCUUGCUAUAAAAGGGUUGUCCAAAAUUUUGGCAAUGUCCUUAUGCAGUCCACUGAUGAUUGGCCAAAGAAAUUAGGCAAAAAUUUGCCGGCAUUGUACUUCUUCGAAGCUUUUUUCCCCUACACCUGCC